rnacentral:tRNA from 1 species
AGGGAAAUAACUCAAUUGAUUGGAGUGCUGGUUUGUUAUGCCAGAAGUUACAAGUUCAAAUCUUGUUUUUCCUC